rnacentral:rRNA from 1 species
CACGUAGGGACCAAGCGUUGUCCGGAAUCAUUGGGCGUAAAGCGCGCGUAGGUGGCCAUUUAAGUCCGCUGUGAAAGUCAGAGGCUCAACCUUUGAAAGCCGGUGGAUACUGGAUGGCUAGAGUACGGAAGAGGCGAGUGGAAUUCCUGGUGUAGCGGUGGAAUGCGCAGAUAUCAGGAGGAACACCAUAGCGAAGGCAGCUCGCUGGGACGUUACUGACACUAAGGCGCGAAAGCGUGGGGAGCGAACAGG